GACGAACGCUGGCGGCGUGCCUAACACAUGCAAGUCGAACGGAGAGGCUAUGAACAAGACUUCGGUAAAGUGAUUAGUUUUCUUAGUGGCGGACGGGUGAGUAACGCGUGAGCAAUCUGCAAUUGCGAGGGGGAUAACGUUCUGAAAAGAACGCUAAUACCGCAUAACGUAUUUUGAUGGAAUCAUCGAGAUACGAAAGGGGCAAUCCGCUGAGAGAUGAGCUCGCGUCUGAUUAGAUAGUUGGUGGGGUAACGGCCUACCAAGUCGACGAUCAGUAGCCGGACUGAGAGGUUGAACGGCCACAUUGGGACUGAGACACGGCCCAGACUCCUACGGGAGGCAGCAGUGGGGAAUAUUGCACAAUGGGCGAAAGCCUGAUGCAGCAACGCCGCGUGAGGGAAGACGGUCUUCGGAUUGUAAACCUCUGUCCUUGGUGAAGAAACAUGACGGUAGCCAUGGAGGAAGCCACGGCUAACUACGUGCCAGCCGCCGCCGUAAGAC
rnacentral:rRNA from 1 species